AUGUCGCCUGUUUUUCAAAAACAUAGCCUUUAGCCAAAACAAGKRUUAAAGGUGACGCCUGCCCAGUGACUCAUUCAACGGCCGCGGGAUCCUCCACCGUGCAAAGGUAGCAUAAUCACUUGUCUCCUAAAUAGAGACUAGUAUGAAUGGCCAAAUGAAGACUUACCUGUCUCUUACAGCCCAUCUAUUAAACUGAUCUUUCAGUACAAAAGCUGAAAUAAUUACACAAGACGAAAAGACCCUGUGGAACUUAAAGCCACAACCAACACAAAUGGUUUAAGCGCUUUUAGUUGGGGCAACUUUGGAAAUAAACAAAACUUCCAAUUACCUGUCAAGAUAGACAUAUCAAAACAUCUUUAUUAACCCAUGACCCAGUAUCACUGAUUAAAGAACAAAGCUACCCCAGGGAUAACAGCGCCAUCCCCUCUUAGAGCCCCCAUCGAUGAGCGGGGUUUACGACCUCGAUGUUGGAUCAGGACACCCAAGUAGUGCAGCAGCUACUAAAGGUUUGUUUGUUCAACAAUUAAUGUCCUACAUGAUCUGA
rnacentral:rRNA from 1 species